GCCGGGUGUGGUGGCUCACGCCUGUAAUUCCAACACCUUGGGAGGCUGAGGUGGGUGGAUCACCUGAGGUCAGGAGUUCAAGACCAGCCUGGCCAACAUGGUGAAACCCCAUCUCUA
ensembl:misc_RNA Metazoa_SRP Metazoan signal recognition particle RNA